rnacentral:rRNA from 1 species
GAUGAACGCUGGCGGCGUGCUUAAUACAUGCGAGUCGAGCGAACAGACGAGGAGCUUGCUCCUUUGACGUUAGCGGCGGACGGGUGAGUAACACGUGGAUAACCUACUUAUAAGACUGGGAUAACUUCGGGAAACCGGAGCUAAUACCGGAUAAUAUCUUGCACCGCAUGGUUCAAUAGUGAAAGACGGCUUUGCUGUAACUAAUAGAUGGAUCCGAGCCGCAUUAGGUAGUUGGUACGGUAACGGCUUACCAAGGCGACGAUGCGUAGCCGACCUGAGGGGGUGAUCGGCCACACUGGAACUGAGACACGGUCCAUACUCCUACGGGAGGCAGCAGUAGGGAAUCUUCCGCAAUGGGCGAAAGCCUGACGGAGCAACGCCGCGUGAGUGAUGGAGGUCUUCGGAUCGUAAAACUCUGUUAUUAGGUAAGAACAAAUGUGUAAGUAACUAUGCACGUCUUGACGGUACCUAAUCAGAAAGCCACGGCUAACUACGUG